GGGUUGGAUGUGCAGUGCGAGUGCUCUCCGGUCCUCAGAUAGAGGUGUAUGCGCUGAUUCCUGAGGUCAAACAGUCGUCUGCUGAUGGUUUUGAUGUGGGAUCUGGAUCUGAUAAUGAUUUCAAUAUAUGUUUGAUCAUUGGGUUGGUCUUCGGAGGGCUCUGUGUUUGUGC